AUCAUGGAGUACAGAAUAUAUUUUAAUUAUUAUAUUAAUUAAGAUAUUAAACUAUUAAUAGAAUUAGGUUACUAAUAAAUUAAUAACAAUUAAUUUUAAAACCUAAAGGUAAACCUUAUAUUAAUAAUAUAUAUUAUAUUAUAUGUUAUUAAUAAAUAAGAACUAAGUGAACUGAAACAUCUAAGUAACUUAAGGAAAAUAAAUCAACAGAGAUAUUAUAAGUAUUGGUGAGAGAAAGUAAUAUAGUCUAAAUAAGUAUUAUGUAAUAAAUAUGUAAGAAAAUAGGAUAACAAAUUCUAAGACUAAAUACUAUUAAUAAGUAUAAAAAGUACCGCAAGGGAAAGUAUAAAAAUGAUUAUUUUAUAAGCAAUCAUAAAUAUAUUAAUUAUAUUAAUGAUGUACCUUUUGUAUAAUGGGUCAGCAAGUAAUUAAUAUUAGUAAAACUUAAAAAGUUAUAAAUAAAUAGAUAAAAAUAAUAUAUAUAUAAAAAUAUAUAAAAUUCAUAUAUUAAAAAUUAUGAAAUAUUUAAUUAAUAUUAAUUGACCCGAAAGCAAACGAUCUAACUAUGAUAAGAUGGAUAAACGAUCGAACAGGUUGAUGUUGCAAUAUCAUCUGAUUAAUUGUGGUUAGUAGUGAAAGACAAAUCUGGUUUGCAGAUAGCUGGUUUUCUAUGAAAUAUAUGUAAGUAUAGCCUUUAUAAAUAAUAAUUAUUAUAUAAUAUAUUAUAAAAUAUAUAUUAUAUAAAGAACGGUACAGCAAUUAAUAUAUAUUGGGGAACUAUUAAAGUUUUAUUAAUAAUAUUAAAUCUCGAAAUGUUUAAUUAUAUAUAAUAAAGAGUCAGAUUAUGUGCGAUAAGGUAAAUAAUCUAAAGGGAAACAGCCCAGAUUAAGAUAUAAAGUUCCUAAUAAAUAAUAAGUGAAAUAAAUAUUAAAAUAUUAUAAUAUAAUCAGUUAAUGGGUUUGACAAUAACCACUUUUUAAUGAACAUGUAACAAUGCACUGAUUUAUAAUAAAAAAUAAUAUUUAAAAUCAAAUAUAUAUAUAUUUAUAUUUAUAUUUGUUAAUAGAUAAUAUACGGAUCUUAAUAAUAAGAAUUAUUUAACUGAAUAUCUAAAUAUUAUUAUUAAAAAAAUAAUAAUAAUAAUAUGGUAAUAGAACAUUUAAUGAAAAAAUAUAUUAGUUAUUAAUUAAUAUAUAUAAUAAUUAGAUAGAGAAUGCUGACAUGAGUAACGAAAAAAAGGUAUAAACCUUUUCACCUAAAACAUAAGGUUUAACUAUAAAAGUACGGCCCCUAAUUAAAAUAUGAAUAAAAAUAUAUUAAAGAUGGGUUAAUCUAUACUAAUAAAAUAAUAUCUUAAAAUAUAAAUAUUAAAACAUUUAUAAUUAUAAAAUAUAUUAAUAUAUAUUAUAUAAACUAAUAAAGAUCAGGAAAAGUAUUAGUGUAUACCGUAAUGUAGACCGACUCAGGUAUGUAAGUAGAGAAUAUGAAGGUGAAUUAGAUAAUUAAAGGGAAGGAACUCGGCAAAAAUAGCUCUAAAGUUAGUCAAUAAAGAGUAAUAAGAACAAAGUUGUACAACUGUUUACUAAAAACACCGCACUUUGCAGAAACGAUAAGUUUAAGUAUAAGGUGUGAACUCUGCUCCAUGCUUAAUAUAUAAAUUAUAUGGUUUAACGAUUAUAUAAUUAAAUUUAGGUAAAUAGCAGCCUUAUUAUGAGGGUUAUAAUGUAGCGAAAUUCCUUGGCCUAUAAUUGAGGUCCCGCAUGAAUGACGUAAUGAUACAACAACUGUCUCCCCUUUAAGCUAAGUGAAAUUGAAAUCGUAGUGAAGAUGCUAUGUACCUUCAGCAAGACGGAAAGACCCUAUGCAGCUUUACUGUAAUUAGAUAGAUCGUAUUAUUAUUUAUUAUAUUCAGCAUAUUAAGUAAUCCUAUAAAAUUAAUAAUUUUAUAAGUAAUCGUUUAGAUAUUAAUGAGAUACUUAUUAUAAUUUAAUGAUAAUUCUAAUCUUAUAUAAAAAUAAUAUAAUACUCCUUCGGGGUCCCGGGGCCGUUCGGCCCCGGGGCUAAUAUUAUAUUAAACUUAAUAGAUAAAAUUCUUAAGUAAUAUAUUAUAUAUAUAUAUUAAUAUAUAUAUAUAUAAUAUAAAUAAGAGACAAUCUCUAAUUGGUAGUUUUGAUGGGGCGUCAUUAUCAGCAAAAGUAUCUGAAUAAGUCCAUAAAUAAAUAUAUAAAAUUAUUGAAUAAGAAUGAUAUAUAUUAUAUAUAUUAAUUAUAAAUUUAAAUAUAUUUAUAUUUUAUUAAUAAAAUAAUAAAUUGAAUAUAUUUAAGUAAUAGAUAAAAAUAUGUACAGUAAAAUUGUAAGGAAAACAAUAAUAAAUUCUAUAAUAAAAGUAGUCUGGUCGGCCACCGGCGGACCGGACGUCGUAGUAGAAAAUUAAUUAAAUAAUAUAAUGGUAUAACUGUGCGAUAAUUGUAACACAAACAAGUGAAACAAGUACGUAAGUAUGGCAUAAUGAACAAAUAACACUAAUUGUAAAGGUUAUUGAUAACGAAUAAAAGUUACGCUAGGGAUAACAGGGUAAUAUAACGAAAGAGUAGAUAUUGUAAGUUAUGUUUGCCACCUCGAUGUCGACUCAACAUUUCCUCUUGGUUGUAAAAGCUAAGAAGGGUUUGACUGUUCGUCAAUUAAAAUGUUACGUGAGUUGGGUUAAAUACGAUGUGAAUCAGUAUGGUUCCUAUCUGCUGAAGGAAAUAUUAUCAAAUUAAAUCUCAUUAUUAGUACGCAAGGACCAUAAUGAAUCAACCCAUGGUGUAUCUAUUGAUAAUUCUAUAAUAUAUAUAUUAAUUUUUAUUAAUUUCUAUAUAUAUUAUCUAUAUUAGUUUAUAUUUUAAUUAAUUGUCAUAGUAGAUAAGCUAAGUUGAUAAUAAAUAAAUAUUGAAUACAUAUUAAAUAUGAAGUUGUUUUAAUAAGAUAAUUAUCUGAUAAUUUAAUACUAAAAUUUAAAAUAUUAUUCAUAUAUAUUCUAUAUAUGUUUAAUUAAUAGGUUUUAUAUAUUUUUAUAUAUUUAUAUAUAUAAUAUUAAUAAAAUACUAAUUUAUCAGUUAUCUAUAUAAUAUCUAAUCUAUUAUUCUAUAAUACCCCCUUUACUAAUAAUUGUUAAAUAAAUUU
rnacentral:rRNA from 1 species